CAUCUCGGUAUCUACGUUCAAG
rnacentral:piRNA from 1 species